UAUAGUAUAUUGUGUGUUAUAUCUCUAUGCAGAGAACAUGUCAUUUUCAUUGCCAAAAUAAUUUACCAAGCUUUACAUUUCUGUAUUACUCCUUUACUGCAGAAAUCUGGCCUUUUUCAGAAGCACAGUGUCACACAUCUGGCUGCUAUUCACAGUAAUCAUGGUAUCAACAUCUCCUUCCCUCAGUCAGUAUUAUCUUUAGGAUUAUAACCUAAUAAAACUACUGUGAGCUAAGCAGAAAACUUGGAUUAGCAUGACAGUUUUAGCUAGGAUUUCCUUGUGAAAUACCUCCCAUUUUUUAGCAUAUUCUGAUAUGGACUUCUUUAAUUUUCAUCACAAGUGCCUCAUAAUUUCAGCCAUUGUUAUGAAAGCAUGCUGGAAGGCACCUUCCUGGACCAUUUACCUAUGUUUCUAUACCACAAGUGCCUAAGGUUACUUCUUGUACAUUUGUUGUUGGUAUGAAUUUGAAAUACCACAUUGUUUUAUGAUUAUGCAGCUGAAAAAUGAUAUGAUUUUUGCAGAUUCAGUUCCUGCAGACUGCACUACUAAAACUCUUUUCUUCCUCCUUGUCAUUUUCUUUUUUAGCUUCUUUGUCAAUAUUUGGUUAAAAUCCAGCUCUGCCCCCAAAGAGCUCGAAGUCUAGUUCAAAUACAAACAUCAAAAAUGAAACAAAAUGUGGGAGAGACAAGCAGCUAACACUGACUUUAAGAUUUUGCAAAUGGACUUUUCUUUGAGAAUGAAUUUUUAGAGGGAUAACAAAGCUCAGCAAUACAGGCUUUGAGUGGAGAUGGAAGAAGAUGGGAAAGUGAGAAUCCCAGACAGUCACUGAGGAAAAGUGGGAGUUAAGACAUAAGGAGGCAGAGUCAGAGUCUUGAAGGUCUGGAAGAAGAGCUUGGCCCAGGUAAGGAAAGGGGAAAGAAACCCUUGGAGGAAUAGAAGAGAAGAUGAAGGCAGUGAGAACUGAUCUUAUUAUAAAGCAGAAAUAGAAGAAAUCCACCAUGCUGCACUGCAAAUGUUUGUUCUUUGGUAGCCCAAUAACUGUGUCUGUUGGGAGCCUGUUAAGGAAAUAGUCCUUAAUCAGAGUUGAAUCCUGACCAAAUAACCUCUCACAUGCAUAAGCAAGAGAAAAAGAAGGAAUCAGCUAUUGUAGUUCAAACUACAGAAAUGCACUGUGAAAAAGAUUUUCUCAGGCUUAGGCAAGGAAUUCAUCCCAAAACCUCCCCAAACCAAGACAAACUAUCUGGGAAAAGUCUUGAGAUCAGAAGAAGCUGUUGCUCCCCAUAAGCUAUUGCUUCUCUCUUGUGCUUCAGCAAAGGACACAUUCUAGAAGAAUCAUAGAAACAUAAUACCCCGAGUUGGGGGGGACCCACAAGGAUCAUCAGGUCCGACUCCUGGCUCCACACAGGACCACCUAAAUAUCCAGACCCUAUGGUUGAGAACUGUGUCCAAACACUCCUUGAACUCCAGCACUUGGAGCUGUGCCUACCGCUCUCUGGUGCAGCACCUGUCCCAAACCCCCAGCUUCCCUUCCUCUGACACAACUCCAUGCUGAUCCCUCAGGCCCUGUCGCUGUCACAGAGAGCAGAGUUCAGCGCUAUUCUUCCACGCCCCUCCUGAGAAGCUGUAGGACAUCAUGAGGCCUUCCCCGAGCCUCCUCUGCUCUAGGCCGAACAAGCCUGAGGACUUCAGCUACUUCUCAUACACCUUUCCCUUCACACCCUUCAUCCUCUUCACCUCCUUUGGAUGCUCCCUAAUAGUUUUAUGCCCUCAUUGUAUUGUGCCCAGAGUUGCGCAUAAUACUCGAUGUGAGACCACAUCAGUGCAGAGCAGAAAGGGACAAUCAAUCUCUUCGCUCUACCACUGAGAAGGGAUACUCUUGCUUGAAUUCUGCAUCAUCACUGUGUACUGCUCACAUGUGAUGACUUACCCCCGUGAAGAAUGAAGAGAAGAACGCGUGGAAAAAAACCCAUGAUAUUAAAAACCUGUAAUGAGAUUUGGAUAAAUAUGUUAAAAUAAGUAAGGUCUAUAGCAAACAAUUUUAUUAAUAUACACAAAAAAAACUCCACAGGGAGGACGAGAAAGGAAAUGAUCAAACUGUGUGUGUUACAUCUAAUGGCUCCCUACACUACAAUGUCCCUUUCUACCAUAUUUUUGUCUUUUGUAUUACAAUGACCGUAAAGUCUCCAUGCUGAAACUGAAGUUUGUAAAGUACCUUGCACUCUGUGGAGCAGCACAUCACCUCAGCCUGCUGCUGUCCAAAUGUCAUUCUAGAAUGUCUGUGUGGGAGGUCUUAUUUCAUGCUCAUAGCUGGAAACCACCAGCUUAUGGCAGCUGAUGAUAUUCUUUAAGAGCCAGUUGAAGACAAAGUGAAAAAUCCAGCCAUGUGUAAAUUCUAAUACGGGAUGUAUGGUUGAUAAACUUUGCUGUCGGGGCUCUCUGUUACACUUUAUUUGUAUCAACUUAAAGCCUGAAGGAAUGCCGCUUUGGCUGCCUUUCAAAACAUGAAAGCUGAGCAUAUCUGGUUUCAUUGAAAGUCACUCAUUGCGUUAGAGAAUCCAAUCACUUAAAAAUCCCUGCAACAUCAAUAUGCCUGACAUGAAAUGUCAGUUGCAUUGCCUGAAUGCAACUAUCUUACCAGCUACUAAAGCACAGUUAACCUACAGAAGCCUGGAGAGCGUUUGGGAGUAUUGCCUGUUCGAUCAAAGAGUGUCUGAACAAACUUAGAAUCAGGACAGCAUUUACAUUUUUGUCAGUAACCUUAAAGUGCUUGCAAAGUCUUUUUCCAGGCAGCCUUACUCGUCACACAGCAUUGGAGAAAGCUCAUGGAAACCCACCAUCCUUCAACACCAAAAAUGGUAGCAAACCUAAAGCUACUUACUCUUUCUCACAGGCCCACAGUGUUUGCAUUCUCACACUGUUUUCUAAAUUGUUAUCUAAAGAAAGAACUGACAAAUGUAACUCCCCUGAAAAAAAGUGAAAAAUUUGUUUCUCUGAUUUCUUUAAAGUAGGACUAGUAACAAAACGUGUCUUAGCAACAGUGAUGCUCAGAUAACAAUGUAGUAUCUAACUCAAAGGUAAAAUAUCCACACGACAAAUACUAAAAUCUGACUCAAGCUUUCUAUCAAUCCCAUAUUUUCCCAUUAUAUAUAAUUUAUCUACUUAAAUUUCACAUGCAAGUGACUUUUCUGUGGUGCUCAGGGAAACAGUAAUAACUUAUCAAACCUCUCACCCAAAGAUUCCCAGCUAUCUGUUAGACCCUGAAUUGACUAAAUAUAGCUCAAACUUUGGUUUACCUACUUAGGCUCUUCAUUCACUGUCAUUCAUUGCCUUAUUUAAGGAAAAGCAAUUAAUUUCUUUAGUCAGCUACUAUCUAUUUGGUAAAUGAAGCAAAAGAUCUUUUGAGUCAAUUGAUUACAAAUAAUCUGGUGAACUAGUGGAAUUGUCUGGGUGUUUUUAUUUCUAGUCUCUUUCAGAUGACUUUCUCAGUGCCACUUGCAGAUGUUCUUGUGGGAAUACUUGCAUACACAUCAGCAUCUGAAGUGAAUAGAAAGUGAAACUGGACUGAAGAGUCAUUUAGACACUGAUCGACAGGUCCAGAGAUAUGUUUAAAGCCAAACACAAGUUUAAAUGAUUUACCACAUCAGGCUCUCAGAAAAUUGGUAUUGUACUGAUUGACAUGUAUCUCUGCCAAGGCUCAAGUAUUAACAAACUGCUGUUUAAUUUAGUAAAAAAUUCUGAUAAAUUAGGAAUGAAAAUGGACUAUUUCUAUGGCAGAUUGCUAUACAUGGAAAGAAUGAGGCUCAAUCUAGUUCAUUCCCAUAGAUAGGAACUCUAGAGGCUGUGUUUAAAAGCAUUCUGUGAAGUAAGGAAAUGGACAUCUUCUGGGUAAAUUCUCUAUUGUCUAGCUAUACAAUUUUUAAAAUAACAGUGAAAUUUUAACCUGAUUUUCUGAAAGGUGAGAAGCAUUAAUCUGAAAUGCUUUGUUUGUUUGUUUGUUUGUUUAUUCUCCAAAGCUUGGUCGGCAUGUAAACAAUGGAAUUUGGCUUGCAGUAUUGAUUGCUGUAUCAGAAACCAAUUUUUUUUUUUUCCAACUGCACACCACCCAUGAUCUGGAAGUUAAACUGUUUGUGCCCUUAUGCUCUCAUUAUGAUAUGAACCAAACUAAGCCAGACUAAGAUUGUCUGUGGUGUUCUGUGGCAUUUGCAUUGUUUGCCAGGCACUCUGUGGAGUUCCAUUACCACAGGCCUGGGCCUUCCUGGCAUACCUGAGAUGUUUAAACCACAGUGGCGCAGCUAUUUUGAACAAAAGCAAUGCGUCUGCUCCAUUCCAGUGCCACUAUGGCCUUGAUGGCACUGACAGGAUGAAUAACAACAAAUGAUGUAUUUGCUAGUCUGCUCCGUCGUGAUGGCUUUCAUACAGAGCUUUGUCUGGACAAAACAACAGCUGUUCUGCUUGUGUCAUUUCUUGCUUUAUUUUAUUUUUAGACUUCUCUCGUAUGUAAAAUGCCAGGAGAUGGACGCAGACAAGGAUACCUUGUGGUAAUGUCUGCUAAAUAAAUAAAGUGAUCCCAGAAAGACUGGAGUGAAACUAUGUUUGAAAUGUUUUCUCCCUUAUUUAACAUUGCACAACAUACAGAAAGAGAGAGUCAGUUUCAGUUAGUAAAUUUCUAAUCAGGACUUUUGAUCACCUUUCCACUCCUAAUAUAGCUAAGCUGGAUAAUAAUGGGAUACAGAAGUCAGAUCAGCCUUUGAAAUCAGCUUUUUGC